rnacentral:rRNA from 1 species
AACGCGAAGAACCUUACCAGGGUUUGACAUACAUGUGACAUCCUUCGAAAGAAGGCUCCCUUCGGGGCACAUGAACAGGUGCUGCAUGGCUGUCGUCAGCUCGUGUCGUGAGAUGUUGGGUUCAGUCCCGCAACGAGCGUAACCCCUAUCGGUAGUUACAUUUUCUAUCGAGACCGCCACUCUAGGGUGGAGGAAGGAGGGGAUGACGUCAAGUCAGCACGGCCCUUACAUCCUGGGCUACACACACGCUACAAUGGCCAGAACAAUGGGCAGCCAACCCGCAAGGGGGAGCCAAUCCCAACAAAACUGGUCCCAGUUCAGAUUGUAGGCUGCAACCCGCCUGCAUGAAGAUGGAGUUGCUAGUAACCGUAGGUCAGCAUACUACGGUGAAUACGUUCCCGGGCCUUGUACACACCGUGUCGA